rnacentral:lncRNA from 1 species
ACUGGGCAAGCCCUGUUACCGCAUGGGAACAGUGGGUGCCAGAGUAGUCAGGAAAGCAGGAGCUCACCCAAGCCCUUCCCUGUCUGCAAAGCCAACCUCCUCCAAUCAACAGAACACCUAACCAGUUGUAUAAAAAGUAUUGUCUGAUAGUACUUGGCGAUUAAAAAUGGAUGCAAAUCCAAGGAAAUGUGAUGUGAUUUCGUCAUUAGACACUGUCUUAGUUACUAUUCCUUGCUGUGAAGAGGCACCAUGACCAAGGCAACAUAUAAAGGAAAGCAUCCAGUCGGUAGCACUGGAGGAGUGGCUGAGAUCUCACAUCCUCAUCCACAAUCAGGAGGUGUACGGAGAGAGCAAGACUGGACCUAGCAUGGGCUUUUGAAACCCCAAAGCCCACUCUCAGUGACAUACCUCCCCCUAGAAGGCCACACCUCCUAAUCCUUCCUAACAGCCCAUCAGCUGGGAACCAGUUGCUGAAGAGGCUUUGUAGAAAUUAACGUUCAUCCUAUCUCUGGGCAUCCAUAAUUUGACUUUUAUUUUUCUCAUAAGUGAGAGGAGAGGUAGCUCAGUGAGUUAAAAGCAGUUGUUUACAAUUGUAAAUACAUGAGCAUAACCUUGUCGUUGAAAAACAAAACAAAUUAAAAGCUAUUCAAA